rnacentral:lncRNA from 1 species
CAGCACUGUGUCAGAGGCUCAGGAUAAUGUCAAAGACAUAGAAGAUGAGGCCUCUGCCCUCCAGAACUUACAGUCAGAAAGACAAAACAUGGCCGAGCAUGGUGGCUCAUGCCUGUAAUCCCAGCACUUUGGGAGGCUGAGGCGGCCAGGCCAUGAUGAGGAAGAGCUCCUGGCGGGCCAGGAUCUCACCUAUACAGGAGCGAGGUCCUGCUCCGAAGGGCAAAUAGCUUACUGACGCAAACUCACCGAUGCUGCUCCAGAGUGGAAGAGGAAAAAGCUUCUUCUUCACCUGAAGACCAGAGUAGGUUGGAGGUGACUAGUGUGUGUAAGCCCAGGAGAAGCAAGGGCUUAGAGAAGAAUCCAACUGUGACAUCGAGAAGAGCCUGUCCAGUCCCUUCCCAGUAGUGGCUCUGGGGCCCAGGCCCGGCUUCCAGAAGAUGGGGCAGCUCUACUCUGGGGUCAAAGCCAACUACUGCUUGGCUGCCAGAGUCUCUCCUGGAGGCGGAUCUUAGCUUUCUGUCUCUGGAAGUUCCUACUCCACCCCUGACCUUCAGCCAGAAUGGAAGGCAAGAUGGGGACACAGAACGGGUUUAUCAUGACGACGAAGACAAUUCUAAACAAGGGAGGAGGGCGUGGUCUCCACCUCUCCUUCCCCAUUCAAUCAAACAUCAAGCGCUGACUCUGCUAUGUGUCCAGCCCUUAGGAGUGAGAGAGACAUGAGCCUGAAGGCUCAGACAAGCUCCUUAACCCCGCUAAGCCUGCUUCUCACCUGCACAAUGGGGAUAAUAAAACCUACUUCCAAGGGGAAUUCAGCGAUGAAUGCGUAUAGAAUGCUUAGUACUGGCACAUGGUAAUUGGAAAAGAAAUGAAGGUCAUUAUCUGGAGUACUAAGCAGCUCCUGUGGGAUCCAGCCCCAGCCCCAGGGGCCAGCCUGGCAC